rnacentral:rRNA from 1 species
UGGGGAAUAUUGCGCAAUGGGGGGAACCCUGACGCAGCCAUGCCGCGUGAAUGAAGAAGGCCUUAGGGUUGUAAAGUUCUUUCGGUAUUGAGGAAGGUUGAUGUGUUAAUAGCACAUCAAAUUGACGUUAAAUACAGAAGAAGCACCNGCUAACUCCGUGCCAGCAGCCGCGGUAAUACGGAGGGUGCGAGCGUUAAUCGGAAUAACUGGGCGUAAAGGGCACGCAGGCGGUUAUUUAAGUGAGGUGUGAAAGCCCCGGGCUUAACCUGGGAAUUGCAUUUCAGACUGGGUAACUAGAGUACUUUAGGGAGGGGUAGAAUUCCACGUGUAGCGGUGAAAUGCGUAGAGAUGUGGAGGAAUACCGAAGGCGAAGGCAGCCCCUUGGGAAUGUACUGACGCUCAUGUGCGAAAGCGUGGGGAGCAAACAGGAUUAGAUACCCUGGUAGUCCACGCUGUAAACGCUGUCGAUUUGGGGGUUGGGGUUUAACUCUGGCGCCCGUAGCUAACGUGAUAAAUCGACCGCCUGGGGAGUACGGCCGCAAGGUUA